GACGAACGCUGGCGGCGUGCCUAAUACAUGCAAGUAGAACGCUGAAGGAGGAGCUUGCUUCUCUGGAUGAGUUGCGAACGGGUGAGUAACGCGUAGGUAACCUGCCUGGUAGCGGGGGAUAACUAUUGGAAACGAUAGCUAAUACCGCAUAAUAGCAGUUGUUGCAUGAUAACUGUUUGAAAGGUGCAAUUGCACCACUACCAGAUGGACCUGCGUUGUAUUAGCUAGUUGGUGGGGUAACGGCUCACCAAGGCGACGAUACAUAGCCGACCUGAGAGGGGGAUCGGCCACACUGGGACUGAGACACGGCCCAGACUCCUACGGGAGGCAGCAGUAGGGAAUCUUCGGCAAUGGACGGAAGUCUGACCGAGCAACGCCGCGUGAGUGAAGAAGGGUGUCGGGUCGUAAAGCUCUGUUGUAAGAGAAGAACGAGUGUGAGAGUGGAAAGUUCACACUGUGACGGUAUCUUACCAGAAAGGGACGGCUAACUACGUG
rnacentral:rRNA from 1 species